UAAUACGAAGGGCCCGAGCGUUAAUCGGAAUCACUGGGCUUAAAGCGUGUGUAGGCGGACAUGUAGGCAUCUUGUGAAAUCCCUCGGCUCAACCGAGGAACUGCAGGGUGAACCACAUGUCUUGAGACAGGUAGGGGUGGUCGGAACGGUAGGUGGAGUGGUGAAAUGCGUUGAUAUCUACCGGAACGCCAAAGGAGAAGUCAGGCCACUGGGCCUGUUCUGACGCUGAGACACGAAAGCGUGGGGAGCGAACGGGAUUAGAUACCCCGGUAGUCCACGCCGUAAACGAUGUGCACUAGGUCGGGGAAGCUCUGACGCUAUUCCCGGCCGAAGCAAAAGUGUUAAGUGCACCGCCUGGGGAGUACGGUCGCAAGGCUA
rnacentral:rRNA from 1 species